GCGCUCGCUUCGGCAGUGCACAUACUAAAAUUGGAAUACAGAGAAAAUGAGCAUGGCCCCUCCACAAGGAUGACAUGCAAGCUUGUGAAGUGUUCAAUAGUUUU
ensembl:snRNA U6 U6 spliceosomal RNA